AGAGUUUGAUCCUGGCUCAGAUUGAACGCUGGCGGCAUGCCUAACACAUGCAAGUCGAACGAGGUAGCAAUACCUAGUGGCGGACGGGUGAGGAACACGUAGGAAUUUGCCCUUAAGUGGGGGAUAGCCUGGGGAAACUCGGAGUAAUACCGCAUGAACUCGAAAGAGCAAAGGGGGCGCAAGCUCUCGCUUUUGGAGAAGCCUACGUCGGAUUAGCUAGUUGGUGGGGUAAUAGCCCACCAAGGCAACGAUCCGUAACUGGUCUGAGAGGAUGAUCAGUCACAUCGGAACUGAGACACGGUCCGAACUCCUACGGGAGGCAGCAGUGGGGAAUAUUGGACAAUGGGCGAAAGCCUGAUCCAGCAAUGCCGCGUGUGUGAAGAAGGCCUGCGGGUUGUAAAGCACUUUAGGCUGGAAAGAAAAAGCUUGGGCUAAUACUCCAAGCCUUGACGGUACCAGCAGAAUAAGCACCGGCUAACUCUGUGCCAGCCGCCGCGGUAAUUC
rnacentral:rRNA from 1 species